GGGGGAACUGAAACAUCUAAGUACCCCGAGGAAAAGAAAUCAACCGAGAUUCCGAAAGUAGCGGCGAGCGAAAUUGGACUAGCCCUUAAGCUUUACACGCGUUAGACGAACGGUCUGGAAAGUCCGACGAUACAGGGUGAUAGUCCCGUAGUUGACGACGUGUGUUCAGUGAAAUCGAGUAGGGCGGGACACGUGAUAUCCUGUCUGAAUAUGGGGGGACCAUCCUCCAAGGCUAAAUACUACUGACUGACCGAUAGUGAACCAGUACCGUGAGGGAAAGGCGAAAAGAACCCCUGUGAGGGGAGUGAAAUAGAACCUGAAACCGUGUACGUACAAGCAGUAGGAGCACCUUCGUGGUGUGACUGCGUACCUUUUGUAUAAUGGGUCAGCGACUUAUAUUCAGUGGCAAGGUUAACCAUCUAGGGGAGCCGUAGGGAAACCGAGUCUUAACUGGGCGUUCAGUCUCUGGAUAUAGACCCGAAACCAGGUGAUCUAGCCAUGGGCAGGUUGAAGGUUGAGUAACAUCAACUGGAGGACCGAACCGACUAAUGUUGAAAAAUUAGCGGAUGACUUGUGGCUAGGGGUGAAAGGCCAAUCAAACCUGGAGAUAGCUGGUUCUCCCCGAAAGCUAUUUAGGUAGCGCCUCGGACGAAUACUACUGGGGGUAGAGCACUGUUAAGGCUAGGGGGUCAUCCCGACUUACCAACCCUUUGCAAACUCCGAAUACCAGUAAGUACUAUCCGGGAGACACACGGCGGGUGCUAACGUCCGUCGUGGAGAGGGAAACAACCCAGACCGCCAGCUAAGGUCCCAAAUUACUACUAAGUGGGAAACGAUGUGGGAAGGCUCAGACAGCCAGGAUGUUGGCUUAGAAGCAGCCAUCAUUUAAAGAAAGCGUAAUAGCUCACUGGUCGAGUCGGCCUGCGCGGAAGAUGUAACGGGGCUAAGUAGUAAACCGAAGCUGCGGCAAUGUGCUUUUGCACAUUGGGUAGGGGAGCGUUCUGUAAGCGGUUGAAGGUGUGUGGUAACGCAUGCUGGACGUAUCAGAAGUGCGAAUGCUGACAUGAGUAACGAUAAAGGGGGUGAAAAACCUCCUCGCCGGAAGACCAAGGGUUCCUGUCCAACGUUAAUCGGGGCAGGGUAAGUCGACCCCUAAGGCGAGGCCGAAAGGCGUAGUCGAUGGGAAACGGGUUAAUAUUCCCGUACUUCUUACAAUUGCGAUGGGGGGACGGAGAAGGCUAGGUGGGCCUGGCGACGGUUGUCCAGGUUCAAGUGCGUAGGCUUAAGAGUUAGGUAAAUCCGGCUCUUUUUAAGGCUGAGACACGACGUCGAGCACCUACGGGUGUGAAGUCAUUGAUGCCAUGCUUCCAGGAAAAGCCUCUAAGCUUCAGAUUGUAAGGAAUCGUACCCCAAACCGACACAGGUGGUCGGGUAGAGAAUACCAAGGCGCUUGAGAGAACUCGGGUGAAGGAACUAGGCAAAAUGGUACCGUAACUUCGGGAGAAGGUACGCUCUCGACGGUGAAGUCCCUUGCGGAUGGAGCUAUUGAGAGUCGCAGAUACCAGGUGGCUGCAACUGUUUAUUAAAAACACAGCACUGUGCAAAAUCGUAAGAUGACGUAUACGGUGUGACGCCUGCCCGGUGCCGGAAGGUUAAUUGAUGGGGUUAGACUUCGGUCGAAGCUCUUGAUCGAAGCCCCGGUAAACGGCGGCCGUAACUAUAACGGUCCUAAGGUAGCGAAAUUCCUUGUCGGGUAAGUUCCGACCUGCACGAAUGGCGUAAUGAUGGCCACGCUGUCUCCACCCGAGACUCAGUGAAAUUGAAAUCGCUGUGAAGAUGCAGUGUACCCGCGGCUAGACGGAAAGACCCCGUGAACCUUUACUACAGCUUGGCACUGAACAUUGACCCUACAUGUGUAGGAUAGGUGGGAGGCUUUGAAGCAAGUACGCCAGUAUUUGUGGAGCCGUCCUUGAAAUACCACCCUUGUAGUGUUGAUGUUCUAACGUCGACCCCUAAUCGGGGUUGCGGACAGUGCCUGGUGGGUAGUUUGACUGGGGCGGUCUCCUCCCAAAGAGUAACGGAGGAGCACGAAGGUGGGCUAAUCACGGUUGGACAUCGUGAGGUUAGUGCAAUGGCAUAAGCCCGCUUGACUGCGAGAAUGACAAUUCGAGCAGGUGCGAAAGCAGGUCAUAGUGAUCCGGUGGUUCUGAAUGGAAGGGCCAUCGCUCAACGGAUAAAAGGUACUCCGGGGAUAACAGGCUGAUACCGCCCAAGAGUUCAUAUCGACGGCGGUGUUUGGCACCUCGAUGUCGGCUCAUCACAUCCUGGGGCUGAAGUCGGUCCCAAGGGUAUGGCUGUUCGCCAUUUAAAGUGGUACGCGAGCUGGGUUUAGAACGUCGUGAGACAGUUCGGUCCCUAUCUGCCGUGGGCGUUGGAAGAUUGAAGGGGGCUGCUCCUAGUACGAGAGGACCGGAG
rnacentral:rRNA from 1 species